rnacentral:rRNA from 1 species
UAAGGAAUAUUGGUCAAUGGAGGCAACUCUGAACCAGCCAUGCCGCGUGCAGGAAGAAGGCGCUACGCGUUGUAAACUGCUUUUGUACGGGAGAAAACUUUUGCUCGUGAGCAGAACUGAUAGUACCGUAAGAAUAAGCAUCGGCUAACUUCGUGCCAGCAGCCGCGGUAAGACGAAGGAUGCAAGCGUUAUCCGGAUUCAUUGGGUUUAAAGGGUGCGUAGGCGGCCCUGUAAGUCAGUGGUGAAAUCCCUCCGCUUAACGGAGGAACUGCCAUUGAUACUGCAGGGCUUGAGUACAGAUGAUGUUGGCGGAAUAUGACAUGUAGCGGUGAAAUGCAUAGAUAUGUCAUAGAACACCGAUUGCGAAGGCAGCUGACAAAACUGUAACUGACGCUGAGGCACGAAAGUGUGGGGAUCAAACAGG